rnacentral:tRNA from 1 species
ACCUCACUGGCUCAGUGAGUAGAGCAUGUGACUCUUGAUCUUGGAGUUGUGAGUUUGAACCCUAUGUUGGGUG